UCAAGCUACUAAGGGCGUACGGUGAAUGCCUUGGCGCCAAGAGUCGAUGAAGGACGUGGUAAGCUGCGAUAAGCGUCGGUGAGCCGCAAACAGGCUUUGACCCGUCGAUCUCCGAAUGGGGAAACCCACCCUGGCUAAUCCCGGGGUAUCCCUGGCUGAAUCCAUAGGCCAGUGGAAGGCAACGUGGGGAAGUGAACCAUCUCAGUACCCACAGGAACAGAAAACAAAAGUGAUUCCGCUAGUAGCGGCGAGCGAACGCGGACAUAGCCCAAACCAUCGUGCUUGCACGGUGGGGUUGUAGGGCCUGCCUGGCCGUAAGGCCGGCGAGUUACCAUAGCAGCAAGCUAGUUGAACGGCCUGGAACGGCCGGCCAUAGAGGGUGAAAGCCCCGUAGACGAAAGCCUGCUGCCUCGCUGGGCAGGUUCCUGAGUACCGCGGGACACGAGAAAUCCCGUGGGAAUCUGCGAGGACCAUCUCGUAAGGCUAAAUACUCCUUGGCGACCGAUAGUGAACCAGUACCGUGAGGGAAAGGUGAAAAGCACCCCUGUGAGGGGAGUGAAAUAGUACCUGAAACCGUAUGCCUACAAGCAGUGGGAGGGCGUUUGCCUGGAGCUUGCUCCGGGUGUUGCCUGACCGCGUGCCUUUUGCAUAAUGAGCCGGCUAGUUGCUCUCGGUGGCGAGGUUAAGCGUAAGCGAGCCGAAGCGAAAGCGAGUCCGAAAUGGGCGUUAAGUCGUCGGGAGCAGACGCGAAGCGAUGUGAUCUACCCUUGGCCAGGGUGAAGCGCGGGUAACACCGCGUGGAGGCCCGAACCAGUGUUGGUUGAAAACAACUUGGAUGAGCUGAGGGUAGGGGUGAAAGGCUAAUCAAACUUCGUGAUUGCCCGUUCUCCUCGAAAUGCCUUUAGGGGCAGCCUCGAGUGGUCGGCGCUGGUGGUAGAGAACUGGAUGGGCUAAGGGGCUUACCAGCUUACUGAACCCAACCAAACUGCGAAUGCCAGCGACACGUAGCUCGGGAGUGAGACGGUGGGGGCUAAGCUUCAUCGUCGAAAGGAAAACAGUCCAGACUACCGGCUAAGGUCCCAAACUCUAUGCUAAGUGGUAAAGGAUCUGGAGACGCUCCGACAACCAGGAGGUUGGCUUAGAAGCAGCCAUCCUUUAAAGAAAGCGUAAUAGCUCACUGGUCAAGCGGCUCCGGGCCGAUAAUCCAACGGGGCUCAAGCAUAGGACCGAAGCCGUAGAUUCGCCGUGGCCUGCGGGCCGCGGCAAUGGUAGAGGAGCGUUCUCUGCUGCGUUGAAGCCAGACCGAGAGGACUGGUGGAGUGCAGAGAAGUGACCCUGCCGGCAUAAGUAGCGAUAAGAGAGGUGAGAAUCCUCUCCGCCGUAAGCCUAAGGUUUCCUGAGGAAGGUUCGUCCGCUCAGGGUUAGUCGGGUCCUAACGCGAGGCCGAAAGGCGUAGCGGAUGGAUAUCCGGUCAAUAUUCCGGAACUACCUGGAGAUCGUUAUUACGAUGGGGGGACGCAGGAGGCUAGCCGGGCCCACGAUUGGACGUGUGGGUUGAGGCAUGUAGGGGGAUCCGCCAGGCAAAUCCGGCGGGUCACAUUCCCUGAGGUGCUAUCGCGAGAGCCGCAAGGCUCGCAAAGCUGGUGACGCCACGCUGCCGAGAAAAGCCUCUAAGGAGAUCUCUGGGUACCCGUACCGCAAACCGACACAGGUAGGCGAGGAGAAAAUCCUCAGGCGCAAGUGAGAACCCUCGUUUAGGAACUCGGCAAACUCGCCCCGUAACUUCGGAAGAAGGGGUGCUCCGUUAACGUGCGUCCGGUUCGCCCGGGCGUGCGCGAAGGAGUUGCAAUAAAGAGGGAGAAGCGACUGUUUACUAAAAACACAGGGCUCUGCUAAGUCGAACACGACGUAUAGGGUCUGACGCCUGCCCGGUGCCGGAAGGUUAAAGGGAGAGGUUAGCCGCAAGGCGACGCUUCGAACUGAAGCCCCGGUAAACGGCGGCCGUAACUAUAACGGUCCUAAGGUAGCGAAAUUCCUUGUCGGGUAAGUUCCGACCUGCACGAAUGGCGUCGAGGGGCACUGCGAAUUUGUGGUACCGGUGAAGACGCCGGUUGCCCGUGACUAGACGGAAAGACCCCGUGCACCUUUACUACAGCCUAGUAGUGAACGUUGACGUGUUAUGCGCAGGAUAGGUGGGAGGCGAUGAACUCGGUCUCUUGGGAUCGGGGGAGCCAACGGUGAGAUACCACCCUUAUCACUUCGAUGUUCUAACCUCGACCCGUCAGCCGGGUCAGGGACACUGCUAGGUGGGUAGUUUGACUGGGGCGGUCGCCUCCUAAAGUGUAACGGAGGCGCGCGAAGGUUCGCUCAGGCUGUUUGGAAAUCAGCCGGAGAGUGCAAAGGCAUAAGCGAGCUUGACUGCGAGACCUACAAGUCGAGCAGGUGGGAAACCAGGCCUUAGUGAUCCGGUGGUCCCGCGUGGAAGGGCCAUCGCUCAACGGAUAAAAGGUACGCCGGGGAUAACAGGCUGAUCCUUGCCAAGAGUUCACAUCGACGCAAGGGUUUGGCACCUCGAUGUCGGCUCAUCACAUCCUGGAGCUGUAGCAGGUUCCAAGGGUUCGGCUGUUCGCCGAUUAAAGUGGUACGUGAGCUGGGUUUAGAACGUCGCGAGACAGUUCGGUCCCUAUCUGUCAUGGGCGCAGGAGAUUUGAGGGGGGCUGACCUUAGUACGAGAGGACCGGGUUGGACGCACCUCUAGUGUACCAGUUGUCGUGCCAACGGCAGCGCUGGGUAGCUACGUGCGGAAGGGAGAAACGCUGAAGGCAUCUAAGCGUGAAACCCUCCCCAAGAUGAGAUCUCCCGAGCCGCAAGGCUCCUAAAGGCUCCUGGAAGACUACCAGGUGAUAGGCCAGGUGUGUAAGGACGGUGACGUCCUCAGCUUACUGGUACUAAUCAGCCGUGAGGCUUGACCAU
rnacentral:rRNA from 1 species